UUCCCUCCCGAGUUCUGCACUCGCCAUUUCUUCUGCACCCCUGUAGGGACUGGCACAGCACUUAGCGCCUGAUGGAGUUGGGCCUGGAGCAUAUGACAACUGUGAUCAAUCAGACUUAGAAAGGGGACGAGGUACUUUGGACCCUUGCCGUCCAAACUGAAUGAUGCCACAGUGCGCAGGUCCACCCUUGGGAUGGGAUUUCUUUUAGCUCCACUAAUGCUACCUUCUUACUCGGUCAGACAAUCAGAAAAUCGGUGUUCAGAAACUCAAAGACCUAACAGCUAACCAGUAACAACAGCCUCCAGGCUGCGCAUAAUCAGUUCGCACAAAGGCUCUGAAGUACAUGACAUACUGCAAAGAGAACAUCAAAAUCUGCUGUGCCAUAUGAUCA